CUUCCAGGUCAUGUGACCUAUUGACUCAAAAUCACUUUGAAAUAAUUCUAAUAGUCCCUUUAAUUGAGGCACAGACAUUUGUUUUCCAUUUUAAAUCAUUUUCCAUUUUUUAGGAAUUUUUUUCUUCAAAAUUGAGAGUUUUUCUUCAAUAGCUUCCAGGUCAUGUGACCUAUUGACUCAAAAUCACUUUGGAAUAAUUCUAAUAGUCCCUUUAAUUGAGGCACAGACAUUUGUUUUCCAUCUUAAAUCAUUUUCCAUUUUUUAGGAAUUUUUUUCUUCAAAAUUGAGGGUUUUUCUUCAAUAGCUUCCAGGUCAUGUGACCUAUUGACUCAAAAUCACUUUGGAAUAAUUCUAAUAGUCUCUUUAGAUGAGGCACAGUCAUUUGUUUUCCAUUUUAAAUCAUUUUCAAUUUUUAAUUAAUUUAUUUCAUCAAAAUUGAGGGUUUUUCUUCAAUAAGAUGAAGAUGGCCAUCAUACAGCAGAAGCACAGCACAGCAAAAGUGACAAAAGCUACAGCAUUAUUGCUAACUCACCAUUUACAAAGACUUUCCAAGUUUUACGGGACCAAGCUCAGGUUGACAUUCUGUCCGAGGAAUCAGAGAUCACAGAAAAUCAUUACUGCUGUCCUGGUAUAGUUGAUGUGCUUGUGAAGAACUACAUGGGAAUCAUCCCACUGUGGAGCGGAAUGUUACUUGGCGACUUAACACGGUACAAAACACCCACAUCUGCUGCAACAAAUAAAACAAGCAAAUCAAGAGAAACAAACUGCCAUGUGGAGUUGUGGUUUGGCUUGGUAAAAAAGAACAUCUUGGCCAAAAAAAAGUACCUCAGACCAGCAGACUUCAUCACAAAAUUGUAUACAUCUUUACAAGGUCGGUAUGUUGAACAUGUUAUGCAGCAUGGUCUGCCAGACAAACUUCUGGACCAAACUGUCAGAGUUUUGAAUAAACCGGCAGAUGAUCCCAAAGAAAAAUGGAACAAGAGGGAAAGUUCUGCUGGUCAGACAAAGACCAAAUCCAAGUAUUUCAAUCCCCCGAAGAUAUUACCCAAUCCCAGAACUUCCAAAGGCCCAAAAAAACAAAUCACCAAAGCUGAAGAUGAUAACAAUAAUAAAGAAUCACAGUUAACCUUGCUUUGGAAAAAGAGUGAUACAGAAGUUGUAGUAGCAGUUGUUCCGUCACAAAUUAAAGGUCGGAGCAUUGUGAUUCAUCAUUCUGACUUGUGCACUCUUCGACCACAUCAAUGGUUGACAGGGGAGAUCAUUGAAAGCCUUCUGCAUGUGGCUGCCCAUGCAUUGGGAGUCAUGGACACCUUCUACAUCCUGAAUCACUACUCAGCUGGUGUGAUUUUGUUCGGGGACAGAACUGAGCUUCCUAGACAAAGUUUACCAAAGGUAAUGGAUAUCUUUGUUGCUAU